AUUGAACGCUGGCGGCAUGCCUUACACAUGCAAGUCGAACGGUAACAGGUCUUCGGAUGCUGACGAGUGGCGAACGGGUGAGUAAUACAUCGGAACGUGCCUAGUAGUGGGGGAUAACUACUCGAAAGAGUGGCUAAUACCGCAUGAGAUCUACGGAUGAAAGCAGGGGAUCGCAAGACCUUGUGCUACUAGAGCGGCCGAUGGCAGAUUGGGUAGUUGGUGGGAUAAAAGCUUACCAAGCCGACGAUCUGUAGCUGGUCUGAAAGGACGAUCAGCCACACUGGGACUGAGACACGGCCCAGACUCCUACGGGAGGCAGCAGUGGGGAAUUUUGGACAAUGGGCGCAAGCCUGAUCCAGCAAUGCCGCGUGCAGGAUGAAGGCCUUCGGGUUGUAAACUGCUUUUGUACGGAACGAAAAGCCCUGGGUUAAUACCCUGGGGUCAUGACGGUACCGUAAGAAUAAGCACCGGCUAACUACGUGCCAGCCGCCGCGGUAACAC
rnacentral:rRNA from 1 species